rnacentral:rRNA from 1 species
UACGAAGGGGGCUAGCGUUGCUCGGAAUCACUGGGCGUAAAGCGCACGUAGGCGGCUUUCUAAGUCAGGGGUGAAAUCCUGGAGCUCAACUCCAGAACUGCCUUUGAUACUGGAGAGCUUGAGUCCGGAAGAGGUGAGUGGAACUCCGAGUGUAGAGGUGAAAUUCGUAGAUAUCGGGAGGAACACCAGUGGCGAAGGCGGCUCACUGGCCCGAUACUGACGCUGAGGCACGAAAGCGUGGGGAGCAAACAGG